GGGAUUGCCCCAGUAACGGGAGUGAAGCGGCAAGAGCUCAAAUUUGAAAUCUGGCCCCUCCGGGGUCCGAGUUGUAAUUUGCAGAGGAUGCUUCGGGCGCGGUCCCCGUCUAAGUACCCUGGAACGGGUCGUCAUAGAGGGUGAGAAUCCCGUCUGGGACGGGUGGCCGUGUCCGUGUGAAGCUCCUUCGACGAGUCGAGUUGUUUGGGAAUGCAGCUCUAAAUGGGUGGUAAAUUUCAUCUAAAGCUAAAUAUUGGCCGGAGACCGAUAGCGCACAAGUAGAGUGAUCGAAAGAUGAAAAGCACUUUGAAAAGAGAGUUAAACAGCACGUGAAAUUGUUGAAAGGGAAGCGCUUGCGACCAGACUCGCCCGCGGGGGUUCAGCCGGUACUCGUACCGGUGUACUCCCCCGGGGGCGGGCCAGCGUCGGUUUGGGCGGUCGGUCAAAGGCCUCCGGAAUGUGUCGCCCCCCGGGGCGUCUUAUAGCCGGAGGUGCAAUGCGGCCAGCCUGGACCGAGGAAC
rnacentral:rRNA from 1 species